CUGGGAGUCUGUGGCUAUAAGAAAUACUUGUCAGAAAGAAAGGAGAUUUAUUCGUUCCUGGCUGAGCAGCUGAAGAGUCUGGCUUCUGCACACGGGGAGAGGUUGCUUCACACCCCGCACAACCCCAUUUCUCUGGCCAUGUCUCUAGAUGGUCUCCAGGCCAACAGCGACAAGGCGGUGACUCAGCUAGGAUCCAUGUUGUUC